CCUACGGGUGGCAGCAGUAGGGAAUCUUUCACAAUGGGGGAAACCCUGAUGCAGCAACGCCGCGUGGAGGAUGAAGGUUUUCGGAUUGUAAACUCCUUUUGUUAGAGAAGAUAAUGAUGGUAUCUAAUGAAUAAGCAUCGGCUAACUCCAUGCCAGCAGCCGCGGUAAUACGGAGGGUGCAAGCGUUACCCGGAAUCACUGGGUGUAAAGAGCGCGUGGGCGGGAUAGCAAGACAGAUGUGAAAUCCUAUGGCUUAACCAUCGAACUACAUUUGAAACUGUUAUGCUAGAGAAUGGGAGAGGUAGGUGGAAUUCUUGGUGUAGGGGUAAAAUCCGUAGAGAUCAAGAGGAAUACUGAUUGCGAAGGCGAGCUACUAGAACGGAUCUGACGCUGAUGCACGAAAGCGUAGGGAUCAAACGGGAUUAGAUACCCCAGUAGUC
rnacentral:rRNA from 1 species